AACUUGUUAAGUUGAUAAUUUGCUAAAUUGUUGGGCUGCUGUUGUUUUAAUUUGCUAAAUUUUUUGGUUUCUGUGAUUUAAUUUGUUGGAUUUUCUAUUUAGGUCUUGUUCUUGUUUUUUUGCUAAAUUGUUUAGAAGAAUAAAAUAUAAA